GGGAGUGUAGUCCAAUUGGCAGAGACAUACGGCUUAGACCCGUAGUGUUGAUGGUUCGAAUCCAUCCACUCCUACCA
rnacentral:tRNA from 1 species